AUUAAACUGAAGAGUUUGAUCCUGGCUCAGAUUGAACGCUGGUGGCAUGCUUAACACAUGCAAGUCGAACGGUAACAGGUCUUAGGAUGCUGACGAGUGGCGGACGGGUGAGUAACGCGUAGGAAUCUGCCCAUUUGAGGGGGAUACCAGUUGGAAACGACUGUUAAUACCGCAUAAUAUCUGUGGAUUAAAGGUGGCUUUCGGGCUGUCGCAGAUGGAUGAGCCUGCGUUGGAUUAGCUAGUUGGUGGGGUAAGGGCCCACCAAGGCUACGAUCCAUAGCUGAUUUGAGAGGAUGAUCAGCCACAUUGGGACUGAGACACGGCCCAAACUCCUACGGGAGGCAGCAGUGGGGAAUAUUGGACAAUGGGGGCAACCCUGAUCCAGCAAUGCCAUGUGUGUGAAGAAGGCCCUAGGGUUGUAAAGCACUUUAGUUG
rnacentral:rRNA from 1 species